CCAUCGGGCAUGGGUGCCAGCUAACGGCUGGUCGGGGCGACUCGAAGGAAAGUGCCACAGAAACAUACCGCCGCCGGCGGUCGCGAGCGUCCGCGCUCGCGCGCUUGCGGUAAGGGUGAAAUGGUGCGGUAAGAGCGCACCGGGGGCGCUGGAAGGCGUCCGCCGGGCAAACCCCACCUGGAGCAAGACGGUUGGGCGUCGCUUCUUCGGAAGCGCGGGCGGCCCGCCCGAUCCCACGAAACGUCGCAUCAGGCGUCCGGCGACGGACGUCGCAGAUAGAUGAUCGCCGCCGCCGUUGUUUCGGCGGAACAGAAUCCGGCUUACAGGCGUGACUCGGCAU
rnacentral:RNase_P_RNA from 1 species